rnacentral:rRNA from 1 species
GAGUUUGAUCAUGGCUCAGGAUGAACGCUAGCGGCAGGCUUAACACAUGCAAGUCGAGGGGUAUAGUUCUUCGGAAUUAGAGACCGGCGCACGGGUGCGUAACGCGUAUGCAAUCUACCUUUCACAGAGGGAUAGCCCAGAGAAAUUUGGAUUAAUACCUCAUAGUAUAACGACUCUGCAUGGAGAUGUUAUUAAAGUCACAACGGUGAAAGAUGAGCAUGCGUCCCAUUAGCUAGUUGGUAAGGUGACGGCUUACCAAGGCUACGAUGGGUAGGGGUCCUGAGAGGGAGAUCCCCCACACUGGUACUGAGACACGGACCAGACUCCUACGGGAGGCAGCAGUGAGGAAUAUUGGACAAUGGGCGCUAGCCUGAUCCAGCCAUGC